rnacentral:tRNA from 1 species
GGGCAGGUGGCGAAACUGGAACACGCGCAGCGCUUAGGACGCUGUCCCGCAAGGGUUGAGGGUUCAAAUCCCUCCCUGCCCA